GAUGAAUGCUGGCGGCGUGCCUAAUACAUGCAAGUCGAGCGAACAGACGAAGAGCUUGCUCCUCUGACGUUAGCGGCGGACGGGUGAGUAACACGUGGAUAACCUACCUAUAAGACUGGGAUAACUUCGGGAAACCGGAGCUAAUACCGGAUAAUAUAUUGAACCGCAUGGUUCAAUAGUGAAAGACGGUUUUGCUGUCACUUAUAGAUGGAUCCGCGCCGCAUUAGCUAGUUGGUAAGGUAACGGCUUACCAAGGCAACGAUGCGUAGCCGACCUGAGAGGGUGAUCGGCCACACUGGAACUGAGACACGGUCCAGACUCCUACGGGAGGCAGCAGUAGGGAAUCUUCCGCAAUGGGCGAAAGCUUGACGGAGCAACGCCGCGUGAGUGAUGAAGGUCUUCGGAUCGUAAAACUCUGUUAUUAGGGAAGAACAAAUGUGUAAGUAACUAUGCACGUCUUGACGGUACCUAAUCAGAAAGCCACGGCUAACUACGUG
rnacentral:rRNA from 1 species